rnacentral:rRNA from 1 species
UAUGGAGGGUGCAAGCGUUGAUCGGAAUCAUAGGGCGUAAAGGGCGCGUAGGCGGUCAGGUAAGUCGGGUGUGAAAGCCCCGGGCUGAACCCGGGAAGUGCAUUCGAAACUGCCGGACUUGAGUACGGGAGGGGGAAGUGGAAUUCCUGGUGUAGGGGUGAAAUCCGUAGAUAUCAGGAGGAACACCGGUGUCGAAGGCGACUUCUUGGACCGAUACUGACGCUGAGGCGCGAAAGCGUGGGGAGUAAACAGG